UACGUAGGGCGCAAGCGUUAUCCGGAAUUAUUGGGCGUAAAGAGCUCGUAGGCGGUUUGUCGCGUCUGCUGUGAAAGACCGGGGCUCAACUCCGGUUCUGCAGUGGGUACGGGCAGACUAGAGUGCAGUAGGGGAGACUGGAAUUCCUGGUGUAGCGGUGAAAUGCGCAGAUAUCAGGAGGAACACCGAUGGCGAAGGCAGGUCUCUGGGCUGUAACUGACGCUGAGGAGCGAAAGCGUGGGUAGCAAACAGG
rnacentral:rRNA from 1 species